UGAGGAAUAUUGGUCAAUGGGCGCAAGCCUGAACCAGCCAUCCCGCGUGAAGGAAGAAGGCGCUAUGCGUUGUAAACUUCUUUUCCAGGGGGAGAAUUUUUCCGUCGUGACGGGAAUUGACGGUACUCUGGGAAUAAGCAUCGGCUAACUCCGUGCCAGCAGCCGCGGUAAUACGGAGGAUGCGAGCGUUAUCCGGAUUUAUUGGGUUUAAAGGGUGCGUAGGCGGAUUGAUAAGUCAGUGGUGAAAGGCUGCAGCUUAACUGUAGACUUGCCGUUGAUACUGUCAGUCUUGAGUAUGGUCAAGGCAGGCGGAAUGUGUAAUGUAGCGGUGAAAUGCUUAGAUAUUACACAGAACACCAAUUGCGUAGGCAGCUUACUGAGCCGACGCUGACGCUGAGGCACGAAAGCGUGGGGAUCGAACAG
rnacentral:rRNA from 1 species